CGCAACUCCACAUAUCUGCGCACGCGCACUGAAUCAAGCGUUCAUGUGCAGCGCAGUCCGGACGCGCUUUGAAAAAAACAACAAAACUUCACGGAAUGAAAUGAAUCUGGAGUGGAGGACAUGGAUAUUUGAAAGCGACAGGAAACGAGAAACAGUUCCUGAAGAUCGCGGCCGGAGUGGCGUUUAAAUGCAUUAUUGUCCGAUAGUGAAAUAACUGCGCGCGCCAGCUGCAUUUCUAUCACUGGAUUUGACGUGUUCCCACAACAACGCGCAGCACAUGACAGGAAUGAGGAGAGACAGCGAUCGAGCCAGUAAAGCCACCUGGGUCCUCCACCUAUUCUGCAUCUCUCUCCUGACUUCAUUCGUGAAAGCAGAAGAUGGGUCCUGUCACGGAGCCUUUGAUUUAUACUUUGUUUUGGAUCGGUCAGGCAGUGUUUCUGACAACUGGAUGGAGAUCUUUGGAUUUGUGGAACAACUGACGAAUCGUUUCGUAAGCCCGAAAAUGAGAGUAUCCUUUAUAGUCUUUUCUUCUAGUGCAGAAGUAGUCUUGCCUCUCACUGGAGACCGGGCAGCUAUUGAUAAUGGUCUGCAAAGUUUGAGCGAGAUCAGACCUGCUGGUGAAACCUACAUGCACGAGGGGUUAAGAAAGGUAAUAGAACAAAUGACUACCCAUGGCACAAAAGCAUCCAGCAUCAUUAUUGCACUGACUGAUGGGAAGCUGGAGGUCUAUCCCCAUGAUCUUGCUGUGAUCGAGGCUGAUCAGGCGAGAAAAUAUGGUGCUCGGGUUUACUGUGUUGGCGUGAAGGACUUUGAUGCAAACCAGCUUGCAGAUAUUGCAGACAGCAAAGAUCAAGUGUUUCCUGUUGUGGAUGGAUUUCAGGCCCUCAAAAACAUUGUCAAUUCGAUUUUAAAGAAAUCCUGUGUAGAGAUUUUUAACCUUGAGCCCUCCAGCAUUUGCGUGAAUGAGACUUUCAACAUUGUUUUGCGAGGGAGGGGAUUCACGCAGGGAAGAACUUCAGAAGGUGUGGUCUGCACAUUAUCUGUCAAUCAACAGGAUCCUUACAAUGAGAAGCCGAGUGCAGUGAAGGAUAAUUACGUUCUGUGUCCAGCUCCAGUGUUGACCGAGGUUGGACACUCCCUCGAUGUGCUCAUUAGUCUGAAUAACGGCCAGUCUUUCAUUUCAAGUCCAAUCACAAUAUAUGCCACAACAUGUUCUGAUGGGAUAGUGAUAGUGAUUGUCAUCCUGGUGCUGCUGGUGUUGUUGGGUUUAAUUGUGCUCUGGUGGUUCUGGCCGCUCUGCUGCAUGGUGGUUAUCAGAGAUCCACCCCCAUCUCGCCCUCCGCCUCCAUGCCCAAUACCUGAACCUGAGGAGGACCUUCUGCCGAAGAAGAAGUGGCCUACAGUGGAUGCGUCUUAUUAUGGUGGCAGAGGGCCUGGUGGCAUCACACGGAUGGAGGUUCGCUGGGGUGAGAAGGGCUCUACAGAGGAAGGGACGCGGUUAGCGAAAGCCAAAAAUGCUGUGGUCAAAAUGCCAGAGGAGGAGUUUGAAGAGCCUGUAAAAAGACCCCCACCCAGACCACCACCAGUAUGUCAGGCCCCAGUCCCAGACAAAUGGUACACACCCAUUAAAGGGCGUUUUGAUGCUGUGUUAGCGUUGCUGCGAAGACAAUACGACAGAGUUGCUAUCAUGAGACCCACAGCAAAUGACAAGCGGUUUCCCUCUUGUAUCAUCCUCCAGGUUUCCCUUAUGGUGUGUGCAUACCGAAAGUGAAUCUAAUUAUUUGCGCUAGUAGAUUGUGUGCACGGUCAAUGCAAAGACGCAAAUAGAUGCGAAUUCGCGCCGGCGAAGCAAAUGACAAAAAUUGGGUGACUUCAGUUGGCCUCAAUCGCGUUUUCCACCCAGGUUGAAAAAUGUCAACUCGAGCGGAAACUUCGCAUGACAUGUUGUCUAGAGUGACAAUGUGAAUCUAUAGCGACAUCGUGAUACUUCCUUAAAUAUAUAGAUAUAUAGAUUAUCUAUUUAUAGAUAUAAAGAAAUGUAUAUAUUUCGAUAAAAUGGAAGACAUAGAUUGUACUGCAUGUUAGCUUUCUUAUCUUGCCCAAAAGCAUCAUUUAUUUAACUCCAAUUGUCUUGCUAACAAGAAACCAUGCUUCUAACCACAAGUCAGAGGCUGUAGAUUGUUUAGAAUGUUUGUUUAGAAUGUUCAUUUAAACUAUGGUUUCAGGAAACACCAACAGAACGGAAAUUGCUACCAUAGUUGGCUAAUGCUUUUAGGAAGUGGAGCCCUAGGCAGGAGCCUAUGAUGCCUUAAAACGCUGCUUAUGUAAAAUCUCUCUAGGCUGUAGAACAGAGGCAUUGUGUUCCUCAUUCAACCGCUUAGUUCAGUCCCUCAUUUGGUCCGCUGACAAGGCUCAUUAGCACUAAUAAGCUGCACAAACGAGGCUGACAGUCCUGUCACAGACAGACCAGAUCACACUCUUGCUACGGUAGUACGUCUGUACGACCUGACCCUCAAACACACACUCAUCAGAGAGCAGUCGUCACUAUUAUACUCAUUAGAUUGACCUGACUGUCAGAGUUCAAGUUGUCAGGAUGUGACACUCAGUGUCUGACACUUCACUGCCGAGAGUGACCUCUGACCUCACGCUGAUUGCACUGUCACACUUAGUUUGAGUUUAACUGAACGUCCUUCUAGGGCACAACGAGAAUAUUGUUGAAGUGUUUGUCUAUGGGCAGCAGUCAAUCAUUGCACAAAUAGUUCAUUAAUUCUUUAACUAAAUUGUUCAUACCAAGUUUGACUACUAAAAUGCCUGCAUUUGUUGUUUUUCUUAAAAUAGAUAAGAAAAAGAUAAAAGUAAAAAGUAAAAUCCUUUUUCUUAUAUUAUUCAGUUUACUUGUCUUUAGAAGUUCUAUGUGUUUAAAGCCUUUUCAUACCAAGUAUGAUGUGUAUGCAUGAUGCAAUUUAAUGUUUAAUUUAAAUGUGCCCUCAGAUCAAUAAACAUCCACCAGGCAACCAACUCCAAAGCAAUGCCAUUGCAAUGUUCUAGCAGGAUUUUCAAAGACAGACACUCCUCAUUUUCUUGUUAUACAAGGUUUUUUUUUCACACCAGAGAUUCAGACCUGCUGUAAAAUAGAGCUUAAUUAUUAACACUGGUACCUGUUCUCCAUUCAUGUUACCAGAUCUGUCCAAACAGGGUUUGUCAUGCAUUAGUGUUGCUUGAUCAGCCUGCCUGACCUCCAUCAUUCCUGCUUCCUUACCGCCAAUUAAAAUCAAACCUCCUCUCAAUUGAACUCAAUUACUCCAAAUUAUCGUACAUGUCAGCUUGACAAAAAAUAUUGUCAAAAUAAUUAUUUUUUACCAUAUGAGAUGCAUUAAAAAAAUCCAAUGUGGAUGAUUCAGCUCGAGUACUGAGUUAAUGUGAUGUGGACUAGUCAGUGAAUGGUGGGUAAAAGACCUUUCACCAGUCUCAAAAUGAGGGCAUAGCCAGUAACAUGAGGCAGAGAUGUUAGGGGAUUCCACUUGUCAUAUUUCACAUUUAUAAGAGAUAAUGGGGUAAAGAGAUGAGUGUGGUUGUAAGAGGGGGUGGUGGGACAGUCGGUCCUCCAUUAUGGAUCUGUAAUGUAGAGUAGCAUUCUGCUUUUGUUUUUUGUCUUUCAGGGACGCUGCAUCAAAUUCAACCGAGUUCAGCAUCACUGACCGAAUUCAAUGUGUCUUUUACUUUAAAGUACGUUCAGACAAAAAGGACUGGAGGAUCCACUGCUGUACGGACACGGUGUGAAAAGCUGCACUUCUGAAUUAAAACCUUUGCAUUUUAAUGUGUAAAUCUAUCCUGCUGAUUUUGUUUCUGCAUGUCUUUGAAUAUGGUUGAAUUCACUGCUUUUAUAACAAUCAGUCUGUUUAAGGUUUUCUAGUUACAAACCAACACAGUGCCUUCUUGUGAGUGUAUUAUGAAUGGAUUUGUCAAGGAAAGAAAAUGUAAAUUAUUAUUUUUAUUUACAUAGUUAUUUCUUUCAUUAUUAUUAGUAAAGAUGAGUAUCCAGUAAAUUCA